GCCCACUCAGGAUUACAUCUGGAGAGUUUCCAGUCCUCUACCAGUUUUGGCUAUGGAGGGAGCGUCAGGCAGAGGCCAACCCAUUCCAAUCCUAGCUUGGGCAGUGGCUAGUGAGUGGAAGGCAAUCUGCUACAAGU